rfam:Aedes aegypti strain Liverpool supercont1.3460 genomic scaffold, whole genome shotgun sequence.
CAAAUGGUCCUUUUCAGGACCACCAAAAAGAGUUAAUUUCUGAAAA